rnacentral:rRNA from 1 species
GAUGAACGCUAGCGGCAGGCCUAACACAUGCAAGUCGAGGGGGAGGUUGCUUUCGGGUAACUGAGACCGGCGUACGGGUGCGUAACGCGUAUACAAUCUGCCUUUCACUGGGGGAUAGCCCGAAGAAAUUUGGAUUAAUACCCCAUAGUAUAGUAAUACGGCAUCGUGAUGCUAUUAAAGCUUAGGUGGUGAAAGAUGAGUAUGCGUUCUAUUAGCUAGUUGGAGAGGUAACGGCUCCCCAAGGCGAUGAUAGAUAGGGGUUCUGAGAGGGAUGUCCCCCACACUGGUACUGAGAUACGGACCAGACUCCUACGGGAGGCAGCAGUGAGGAAUAUUGGACAAUGGUCGGAAGACUGAUCCAGCCAUGCCGCGUGCAGGAUGAAGGUCUUAUGGAUUGUAAACUGCUUUUGUAAGGGAAGAAUAAGGGCUACGCGUAGUUUGAUGACGGUACCUUACGAAUAAGCAUCGGCUAACUCCGUG